CGAAGAUGAUUGCUAGUCUCAAAGCCGAAGAUCAAAGCCAGCUCCAGCUUGUGGAGAGAGAAGAUAUUGAUGACGAAGAAGACUUGUUCGAAGCAAUUGAUAAACUGACCUCUCAAGGAAUCAAUGCUGGAGAUGUAAAGAAGCUUCAAGAUGCAGGGAUAUACACCUGCAAUGGCUUGA